rnacentral:rRNA from 1 species
CCAGACUCCUACGGGAGGCAGCAGUGAGGAAUAUUGGUCAAUGGGCGCGAGCCUGAACCAGCCAAGUAGCGUGAAGGAUGACUGCCCUACGGGUUGUAAACUUCUUUUAUAAAGGAAUAAAGUGAGGCACGUGUGCCUUUUUGUAUGUACUUUAUGAAUAAGGAUCGGCUAACUCCGUGCCAGCAGCCGCGGUAAUACGGAGGAUCCGAGCGUUAUCCGGAUUUAUCGGGUUUAAAGGGUGCGCAGGCGGAUUUUUAAGUUAGCGGUCAAAUCGUGGGGCUCAACCCCAUCCAGCCGUUGAAACUGGGGAUCUAGAGUGUGCGAGAGGUAUGCGGAAUGCGUGGUGUAGCGGUGAAAUGCAUAGAUAUCACGCAGAACCCCGAUUGCGAAGGCAGCAUGCCGGCUUCCGACUGACGCUGAAGCACGAAAGCGUGGGGAUCGAGCAGGAUUAGAUACCCCAGUA